rnacentral:rRNA from 1 species
AUGGCCAUACCAUGCUGAAUAUACCGGUUCUCGUUAGAUCACCGAAGUCAAGCAUCGUUGGGCGCGGUCAGUACUUGGGUGGGUGACCACCUGGGAACACCGCGUGCCGU